GCCAUAGCUGAGUGGUAGAGUGUCUGCUUUGCAUGCAGGAGGUCUCAGGUUCAGUUCCUGGGGCUGGGACU